CUACAACUCCUGAUAUUCUUCAUGCCAGAAUAACUCUCAAUGUUACAUAGUUCCUGAGGACAAUAAGGUGAUCAUUUAUUUAUUUAAUACAUUAUGGGCACUUACUAUAUUUCAGGCUCUGGCAUGGGUAAGUGAAGCAAGAUGACAAAAGGCCCUUAAGAAUGUCCCCCAGUCUAAGGAGACUAACUCACAGGCAUAAAACAGUGGGCUGCUGUCUCCUGAUGCUGCGUGGUGUGCCCCAUGGACAUUUGAAACAAUACAAGUAACCAUGUAAAAUGGCCAAAAAAGGGCUGGGUGUGGCAGCUCAUGCCUGUAAUCCCAGCACUUUGGGAGGCAGAGGCAGGAGGAUCGCUAGAGCCCAGGGGUUUGAGACCAGCCUGGGUAACAUAGUGAGACCCCCAUCUCUACAAAAUAUCAAAAAAUGACCUGGGUGUAGUGGCGCAUACCUGUAGUUUCAGCUACUCAGGAGGCUGAAGCAAGAGGAUUGCUUGAGUCUGGGAGGUCAAGGCUGCAAUGAGCCAUGAUUGCGCCACUGCACUCCAGCCUGGGUGACAGAGUGAGACCCUGUCUCAAAAUAAAAUGGCCAAAAAGGGACAGAGGAAGGAGAGCGUGAGUGCUUUUAAGCACUCGAACGGAAACUCUGAUGGUUAGGUGGAAGAUACAGUCAAGGGAUAGCUGUAUAUUUCCCAUGUUUCUUUUUUCCUUUUUAAAUUCAUCAUCCUUUUAGAUAGAAAUGUUUAGGGGAAACAGCAGGGAAGGGCUGCCAGGAACAUAGCAAUUUGGUUUACCAAGAUCAUUAUAUUUAGUACUUUAAUGUCUAGCUUUUGAGGUGGGGGUGAGGGGUGUUGGAUUUAAGAAAAAGUAAACAGUUGUUCUUAAUUAUACCAUACUAUGAGACUUGGUGUGCUAGCUUCAAACAAAAUAAUACAGUCUUUUCACCAUUACAGGAACAUCAGUGACUAAACAGAAUCGAUCAUCUGGGUGGUUAUGAUUGGAAGUUAUUGCAGUUAAAUAAUGCUAAGUCUUUGAGACAAGCAGUAAACUCCAAAUGGAAUUCAUGGCUAAUAUCAGUGAGGCAGUCUACUGUGUAAUGUAGUAUUUAUCACCUCCUUUGGAAGACG
rnacentral:lncRNA from 10 species